UACGUAGGGUGCAAGCGUUAAUCGGAAUUACUGGGCGUAAAGCGUGCGCAGGCGGUUGUGCAAGACCGAUGUGAAAUCCCCGGGCUUAACCUGGGAAUGGCAUUGGUGACUGCACGGCUAGAGUGUGUCAGAGGGGGGUAGAAUUCCACGUGUAGCAGUGAAAUGCGUAGAGAUGUGGAGGAAUACCGAUGGCGAAGGCAGCCCCCUGGGAUAACACUGACGCUCCAUGCACGGAAAGCGUGGGGAGCAAACGGG
rnacentral:rRNA from 1 species